CUGCAACUCGCCUGCAUGAAGCUGGAAUUGCUAGUAAUCGCGGAUCAGCAUGCCGCGGUGAAUACGUUCCCGGGCCUUGUACACACCGCCCGUCACACCAUGAGAGUCGGGAACACCCGAAGUCCGUAGUCUAACCCGCAAGGGAGGGCGCGGCCGAAGGUGGGUCCGGUAAUUGGGGUGAAGUCGUAACAAGGUACC
rnacentral:rRNA from 1 species